rnacentral:rRNA from 1 species
UACGGAGGGGGCUAGCGUUGUUCGGAAUUACUGGGCGUAAAGGGCGCGUAAGCGGCCUGCUAAGUCGAACGUGAAAUCCCCGAGCUCAACUCGGGAACUGCGUCCGAUACUGGUUGGCUUGAAUCCGGGAGAGGGAUGCGGAAUUCCAGGUGUAGCGGUGAAAUGCGUAGAUAUCUGGAGGAACACCGGUGGCGAAGGCGGCGAUCCUGGACCGGCAUUGA